AAAGUUAAUGUGCUUUGUUUUUGGAUUCCUGAAAAACAAAAUGUUUAUUAUCCAGGGAUUUUAGUGGUGUCUUUGCAUAUCAAGAUGAGGAAACUGAAGCACAGAGAAGUUAUACAACUUGCCCAACGUCACACUGCUAGUAAGCGCAGGAUCUGAACUAUUACAUCAUAUUGCAGGAGUUAAGGGUCUCAUACUGUCACCCAGGCUGGAAUGCAAUGAAGUAAUCACGGCUCACUACAACUUUACCUUCCCAGCCUCAGGCGAUUCUCCUACCUAAACCUCCCAAGCAGCUGGGACCAGAGGAGUAACAAGGAAGGCUAGCAGUGCAGCCCAGGUCCAGAGCUGAUGAAUGGUGCAGUGCUGCUGUUGUCAUAGCAACCAAGAGGAAAAAAGCAGCACCAUAUAAGGAUCUGUGACAUGGAUUCUGGGAACAAUUUAUAUUAAAAAGCUGUAAGCUCCUCAUGCCUUAAAGCUGUAA
rnacentral:lncRNA from 10 species